rnacentral:rRNA from 1 species
GCGACACGGUGACGUGGGGCGGAUCCCUGAAAACCGGUCUCAGUUCGGAUCGCAGUCUGCAACUCGACUGCGUGAAGGUGGAGUCGCUAGUAAUCGCGGAUCAGCAACGCCGCGGUGAAUGCGUUCCCGGGCCUUGUACACACCGCCCGUCAAGUCAUGAAAGUGGGCAGCACCCGAAGACGGUGGCCUAACCCUUGUGGGGGGAGCCGUCUAAGGUGAGGCUCGUGAUUGGGACUAAGUCGUAACAAGGUAUC